UAGGGAAUCUUCCGCAAUGGACGCAAGUCUGACGGAGCAACGCCGCGUGAGUGAAGAAGGAUUUCGGUUCGUAAAACUCUGUUGUUAGAGAAGAACAGCGCAUAGAGUAACUGUUAUGCGUGUGACGGUAUCUAACCAGAAAGCCACGGCUAACUACGUGCCAGCAGCCGCGGUAAUACGUUGGUGGCAAGCGUUGUCCGGAUUUAUUGGGCGUAAAGCGAGCGCAGGCGAUUAAUUAAGUCUGAUGUGAAAGCCCCCGGCUCAACCGGGGAGGGUCAUUGGAAACUGGUUGACUUGAGUGCAGAAGAGGAGAGUGGAAUUCCAUGUGUAGCGGUGAAAUGCGUAGAUAUAUGGAGAAACACCAGUGGCGAAGGCGACUCGCUGGUCUGUAACUGACGCUGAGGCUCGAAAGCGUGGGUAGCAAACAGG
rnacentral:rRNA from 1 species